rnacentral:rRNA from 1 species
AUUGAACGCUGGCGGCAUGCUUUACACAUGCAAGUCGAACGGUAACAGGCCUUCGGGUGCUGACGAGUGGCGAACGGGUGAGUAGUGCAUCGGAACGUGCCCAGAGGUGGGGGAUAACGCAGCGAAAGCUGUGCUAAUACCGCAUGUGAUCUGAGGAUGAAAGCGGGGGACCAGGCAGCAAUGUUUGGCCUCGCGCCUUUGGAGCGGCCGAUGUCCGAUUAGGUAGUUGGUGGGGUAAAGGCCUACCAAGCCGACGAUCUGUAGCUGGUCUGAGAGGACGACCAGCCACACUGGGACUGAGACACGGCCCAGACUCCUACGGGAGGCAGCAGUGGGGAAUUUUGGACAAUGGGCGCAAGCCUGAUCCAGCAAUGCCGCGUGCGGGAAGAAGGCCUUCGGGUUGUAAACCGCUUUUGUACGGAACGAAAAGGCUCUGGCUAAUACCUGGGGCUGAUGACGGUACCGUAAGAAUAAGCACCGGCUAACUACGUG